UACGUAGGGACCAAGCGUUGUUCGGAUUUACUGGGCGUAAAGGGCGCGUAGGCGGCGUGGUAAGUCACUUGUGAAAUCUCCGAGCUUAACUCGGAACGGUCAAGUGAUACUGCUGUGCUAGAGUACAGAAGGGGCAAUCGGAAUUCUUGGUGUAGCGGUGAAAUGCGUAGAUAUCAAGAGGAACACCUGAGGUGAAGACGGGUUGCUGGGCUGAUACUGACGCUGAGGCGCGAAAGCUAGGGGUAGCAAAACGGG
rnacentral:rRNA from 1 species